CGAUCUCAACUCAUACGUGACUACCCCCUGAAUUUAAGCAUAUUAAUAAGGGGAGGAAAAGAAACUAACGAGGAUUCCCUUAGUAGCGGCGAGCGAAACGGGAUUAGCCCAGCACUAAGCCCAAUUAGCAAUUUUUGUUAAUUGGGGAUGCAGUGUAUGGAGAGUUCAUUAGCUUAUUGCAUAUAGAUAGUAGAUUCAAGUCCAUCUUGAAUGGGGCCACUUUAUCCCAUAGAGGGUGCCAGGCCCGUAGCAAUUACUAUCUGCAAUUUGCGAACGUUUUCUCCUAAGAGUCGUGUUGCUUGAUAGUGCAGCACAAAGUGGGUGGUAAACUCCAUCUAAGGCUAAAUAUAACCACGAGACCGAUAGAGAACAAGUACCGUGAGGGAAAGUUGAAAAGAACUCUGAAUAGAGAGUUAAAGAGUACGUGAAACCGUAUAGGGGUUAAGCCCGUUGAAUCUAAUCUAUCCGAUGGAUGAAAUUCAAUAUUAAACUUAAUCGUUUAGUAUGCACUUUUCAUCUAGUAGGACACUGCAAUCCGUUAGAUUAAAUAUAUGCUUUUUUGCUAUAUUUGAGUCUAUCUCUAGAAUUCGUAAUGGGUUGUUUAUCAUAAAUAUCAUUAUGUGUUAUUUUGAUAAAUCCAUAAUAGAAUUCUGAUAGUAUUCGACUGACGGAUUUAAAACAAUCAUAUAACAUGCAUAUGUAAUUAUAUAUAAUUUAUAUGUAUUUGAUUGGCAGUGCACUCAAAGAUUUAGAUACCUUCGGGGCCCGUCUUGAAACACGGACCAAGGAGUCUAGCAUGUAUGCAAGUUAUUGGGAUUUAUUGUCAAACUUUUGUUAGACAAUAGAGUAUUUUGAAAUAAAACCCAAGAGCGAAAUUAACGUGACUGUUAAUGGGAUUAUAUUUAUCCAUUAUAUAUUACAUAUAUGGAUAAAUUUCCAUCCCGGGGCGAUUUAUAAUUAAAAUUGCAAAAUUUUAUGAAAUCGUACCUUGAGCAUACAUGGUAGGACCCGAAAGAUGGUGAACUAUGCCUGAUCAGGUUGAAGUCAGGGGAAACCCUGAUGGAGGACCGAAGCAGUUCUGACGUGCAAAUCGAUUGUCAGAAUUGGGUAUAGGGGCGAAAGACCAAUCGAACCAUCUAGUAGCUGGUUCCCUCCGAAGUUUCCCUCAGGAUAGCUGGUGCACAUUAUAUAAGAGUAAUCUUAUCCGGUAAAGCGAAUGAUUAGAGGCUAUUGGGGACGAAACGACCUCAACCUAUUCUCAAA
rnacentral:ncRNA from 1 species